UACGAAGGGGGCUAGCGUUGUUCGGAAUUACUGGGCGUAAAGCGCGCGCAGGCGGCUAUCCAAGUCAGUGGUGAAAGCCCGGAGCUCAACUCCGGAACUGCCAUUGAAACUGUUUAGCUUGAGGAUGAGAGAGGUGAGUGGAAUUCCCAGUGUAGAGGUGAAAUUCGUAGAUAUUCGCAAGAACACCAGUGGCGAAGGCGGCUCACUGGCCCGAUACUGACGCUGAGGUGCGAAAGCGUGGGGAGCAAACAGGG
rnacentral:rRNA from 1 species